rnacentral:rRNA from 1 species
UCAGGACGCUUAGGGUAUAGUACGUAUGAAUGACCUAGCGCAGUAUGACGACUUUGCCUUUGUAUAAAGGCAAGCUCAAUGAGAGCCAUCGGGGGUAGAUCUAUUCAGUGGCGAGCGGUGGAAUGCUUUGACCCAUUGGAGAGAAACGAAAGCGAAGGCAUCUACCUAGAGGGUUUCUGUCGAUCAAGGGCGAGAGUAGGAGGAUCCAACCGGAUCAGAGACCCGGGUAGUUCCUACUGUAAACGAUGCCGACAGGGGAUUGUCCUUUAAGAAGGGCAGGACCUUAGGAGAAAUCAUAGUUCAUGGGCUCUGGGGGAACUACGACCGCAAGGCUGAAACUUGAAGGAAUUGACGGAAGGGCACACCAGGGGUGGAGCCUGUGGCUUAAUUUGAAUCAACACGGGGAAACUUACCAGGACCAGAUGUUUUUUAUGACUGACCAGCUAAAGACUGUUCAGGAUAUGACUUGUGGUGGUGCAUGGCCGUUGGUGGUGCGUGGGUUGACCUGUCUAGCG